CCAGACUCCUACGGGAGGCAGCAGUGGGGAAUAUUGCACAAUGGGGGAAACCCUGAUGCAGCGACGCCGCGUGAGCGAUGAAGUAUUUCGGUAUGUAAAGCUCUAUCAGCAGGGAAGAAAAUGACGGUACCUGACUAAGAAGCCCCGGCUAACUACGUGCCAGCAGCCGCGGUAAUACGUAGGGGGCAAGCGUUAUCCGGAUUUACUGGGUGUAAAGGGAGCGUAGACGGCGGUGCAAGCCAGAUGUGAAAGCCCGGGGCUCAACCCCGGAACUGCUUUGGAAACUGUGCAGCUAGAGUGCGGGAGAGGUAAGCGGAAUUCCUAGUGUAGCGGUGAAAUGCGUAGAUAUUAGGAGGAACACCAGUGGCGAAGGCGGCUUGCUGGACCGUAACUGACGUUGAGGCUCGAAAGCGUGGGGAGCAAACAGGAUUAGAUACCCCCGUA
rnacentral:rRNA from 1 species